CGUGGAGCGAUUUGUCUGGUUUAUUCCGAUAACGAGCGAGACUCUAGCCUACUAACUAGUCCACACAUUGCUUCGGUGUGUGUGUGCGACUUCUUAGAGGGAUUUUCGGUGUUCAGCCGCACGAGAUUGAGCAAUAACAGGUCUGUGAUGCCCUUAGAUGUCCGGGGCUGCACGCGCGCUACACUGGCGAAAUCAGCGUGCCUGUCCUCUCUCGAAAGAGAUUGGUAAACCAAUGAAAAUUCGCCGUGAUUGGGAUCGGAAAUUGCAAUUAUUUUCCGUGAACGAGGAAUUCCAAGUAAGUGCGAGUCAUCAACUCGCGUUGAAUACGUCCCUGCCCUUUGUAC
rnacentral:rRNA from 1 species